GAUGAACGCUGGCGGCGUGCCUAAUACAUGCAAGUCGAGCGAACGGACGAGAAGCUUGCUUCUCUGAUGUUAGCGGCGGACGGGUGAGUAACACGUGGAUAACCUACCUAUAAGACUGGUAUAACUUCGGGAAACCGGAGCUAAUACCGGAUAAUAUUUUGAACCGCAUGGUUCAAAAGUGAAAGACGGUCUUGCUGUCACUUAUAGAUGGAUCCGCGCUGCAUUAGCUAGUUGGUAAGGUAACGGCUUACCAAGGCAACGAUGCAUAGCCGACCUGAGAGGGUGAUCGGCCACACUGGAACUGAGGCACGGUCCAGACUCCUACGGGAGGCAGCAGUAGGGAAUCUUCCGCAAUGGGCGAAAGCCUGACGGAGCAACGCCGCGUGAGUGAUGAAGGUCUUCGGAUCGUAAAACUCUGUUAUUAGGGAAGAACAUAUGUGUAAGUAACUGUGCACAUCUUGACGGUACCUAAUCAGAAAGCCACGGCUAACUACGUG
rnacentral:rRNA from 1 species